AUGAAUGUAUCAAAGCAUGAAUGAGAUUCCGUUUUUCAUGGCCUAAAUCAAUCUAUCUCGCUUUCUCAAGAAUAAUGACUGUAAGAAUCUCUUUUAUUGGGAUUAGAGUUUCAAGUCCAAAAAUUCAGAGAAAACUGCUCAUUUUGUUCUCCUAUAUCAAACUUCAAAUCUCCUUCUCCUUCUCUCUGCUUCAUCGUCACAAGUAACCAUCAUGGACACACUCGUUGCUCAGUUGCAGAGACAAUUUCGUGACUACACCAUUUCUCUCUAUCACCAGGGGUUUCUGGAUGAUCAGUUCACUGAAUUGAAAAAGCUGCAAGAUGAAU